AGUGAACGCUGGCGGUAGGCCUAACACAUGCAAGUCGAACGGCAGCACAGUAAGAGCUUGCUCUUACGGGUGGCGAGUGGCGGACGGGUGAGGAAUACAUCGGAAUCUACUUUUUCGUGGGGGAUAACGUAGGGAAACUUACGCUAAUACCGCAUACGACCUACGGGUGAAAGCAGGGGAUCUUCGGACCUUGCGCGAUUGAAUGAGCCGAUGUCGGAUUAGCUAGUUGGCGGGGUAAAGGCCCACCAAGGCUACGAUCCGUAGCUGGUCUGAGAGGAUGAUCAGCCACACUGGAACUGAGACACGGUCCAGACUCCUACGGGAGGCAGCAGUGGGGAAUAUUGGACAAUGGGCGCAAGCCUGAUCCAGCCAUACCGCGUGGGUGGAGAAGGCCUUCGGGUUGUAAAGCCCUUUUGUUGGGAAAGAAAAGCAGCAGGUUAAUACCCCGCUGUUCUGACGGUACCCAAAGAAUAAGCACCGGCUAACUUCGUG
rnacentral:rRNA from 1 species